GACAGAGGUCUCUAGCGUUAGGCGGAAUCACUGGGCUUAAAGCGUGUGUAGGCGGGCCGUUAAGUGCUUUGUGAAAUCCCAUGGCUCAACCAUGGAACUGCUUGGCAUACUGGCGGUCUUGGGCCAUCUAGGGGCUACUGGAACAAGCGGUGGAGCGGUGAAAUGCGUAGAUAUCGCUUGGAACGCCAACGGUGAAAACAGGUUGCUGGGGGUGUGCUGACGCUGAGAGACGAAAGCUAGGGGAGCAAAUGGG
rnacentral:rRNA from 1 species